CCUACGGGUGGCAGCAGUGGGGAAUAUUGGACAAUGGGCGAAAGCCUGAUCCAGCCAUGCCGCGUGUGUGAAGAAGGCCUUCGGGUUGUAAAGCACUUUCAGUGGGGAAGAAAGCCUUGGGGCUAAUACCCUCGAGGAAGGACAUCACCCACAGAAGAAGCACCGGCUAACUCCGUGCCAGCAGCCGCGGUAAUACAGGAGGGUGCGAGCGUUAAUCGGAAUUACUGGGCGUAAAGCGCGCGUAGGCGGUCUGAUAAGCCGGUUGUGAAAGCCCCGGGCUCAACCUGGGAACGGCAUCCGGAACUGUCAGGCUAGAGUGCAGGAGAGGAAGGUAGAAUUCCCGGUGUAGCGGUGAAAUGCGUAGAGAUCGGGAGGAAUACCAGUGGCGAAGGCGGCCUUCUGGACUGACACUGACGCUGAGGUGCGAAAGCGUGGGUAGCAAACAGGAUUAGAUACCCCAGUAGUC
rnacentral:rRNA from 1 species